AGCAGGAUCAGCCCCCGAGUGUCUGUUAAGACUCAAUGAAAGGGGCUCCGGUUUCAUAG
rfam:Sulfolobus solfataricus P2, complete genome.